rnacentral:tRNA from 1 species
GCCUGGGUGGCUCAGUUGGUAGAGCAUCUGCCUUCGGCUCAGGUCAAGAUCUCAGGGUUCUGGGAUCAAGCCCCAAAUCGGGCU